GACGAACGCUGGCGGCGUGCCUAAUACAUGCAAGUAGGACGCAGUUGCGAACGGGUGAGUAACGCGUAGGUAACUACCUAUUAGAGGGGGAUAACUAUUGGAAACGAUAGCUAAUACCGCAUACUAGUAGAUGGACCUGCGUUGUAUUAGCUAGUAGGUAGGGUAAUGGCCUACCUAGGCAACGAUACAUCACCGAGCGUGGAGGGUGGUCGGCCACAACGGGACUGGGACACGGCCCAGACUCCUACGGGAGGCAGCAGGAGGGAAUCUUCGGCAAUUGGGGGAACCCUGACCGAGCAACGCCGCGUGAGUGAAGAAGGUUUUCGGAUCGUAAAGCUCUGUUGUUAAGGAAGCGGUACUUAACCAGAAAGGGACGGCUAACUACGUGCCAGUCGCCGCGGUAAUUC
rnacentral:rRNA from 1 species